AGAGUUUGAUCCUGGCUCAGAACGAACGCUGGCGGCAGGCCUAACACAUGCAAGUCGAACGAUGUAGCAAUACAUAGUGGCGCACGGGUGAGUAACGCGUGGGAAUCUGCCCAGUAGUACGGAAUAACAGUUGGAAACGACUGCUAACACCGUAUACGCCCUUCGGGGGAAAUAUUUAUAGCUAUUGGAUGAGCCCGCGUAAGAUUAGGUAGUUGGUAGGGUAAUGGCCUACCAAGCCUACGAUCUUUAGCUGGUCUGAGAGGAUGAUCAGCCACACUGGAACUGAGACACGAUCCAGACUCCUACGGGAGGCAGCAGUGGGGAAUAUUGGACAAUGGGGGAAACCCUGAUCCAGCCAUGCCGCGUGAGUGAUGAAGGCCUUAGGGUUGUAAAGCUCUUUUGCCAGGGAAGAUAAUGACGGUACCUGAGAAUAG
rnacentral:rRNA from 1 species